UUAAAGUUAAGUUAGUUUAAGCUAUAAAACAUCAAUCUGUGGAUUUGAAAAUGAAAUUUGUUUCACUUAACCA
rnacentral:tRNA from 1 species